CUCUUUGUAUCAGGAACAUGCAGCCAUUUUUACCAUCACUUUAUAAACCCUGUAUAGCAGUUCCUAUGACUUCAUUGCAUCUGUGAAAAGUUUGUUAAUGUACAAUAUAAUAUGAGGUGACUUACAAAACGGACAAUGCUUUCACUUCCAUUAGCCUACUGCGUCAAACUGAGCUUAAAGGUGUGUCAGGUCAGGAAUGAUAACUUGUAAAAAGUCUGUGGCUAAAGUGUGAGUGGUUUAUCGUGGGAGAGAGUUAGAAAAUAUAUUUUGUUUUUAGUUUGCACUUUCAUUGUAGGCUACUGCCCUGAACCAUAUCCCGGCUACUCUAGUCACUCUGUCAUCAAAACUGUAUGGUAGCCAUAAAAAAAGAAGUCUAAUAAAGUAUUUCACAAACAAAUGAUGGUUUACUCCAUUGUAAGCAACAACAACAAAAAACACGUAGGCUAUUGGAUGCCAUACAGAACUCUGUCGUGACAUAACUAAUCAUAAUAUAAUAAGAUGAUAAAAGUCUUAAUAUAACAUAUAUUAUUUAUGAAUGUCAUAACAUGUAACAACAUUUGCACAAUACAGUAUGUCCAAUAACAGGCAUUAACAAGCCAUGGUCUAGUAUUUCAUAGAAAAAUAAUAAAUGAAUGUCUUAAAAAUUCAGAAAUAGUGGUAUGCCCUUCAUAUAUCAUAAUAUAGUAUGUCAUACGACAAUUAUAAUACGAUUCAUAAUAAAGCAUAUCAUGCACUGGUGCCACACAUUUGGUUUUUCUGAUUUCUCUUUGUUAAGAGGUUCAUUGUUCACCGUCUUUGGCGAAAGUUACCCAACAACAAUGGCAGGAGAACCAGAGAAAGUCUGGAGCAGCGCUCUCCUCGACUGCUUUGAGGACAUCAAUACGUGUUGCUAUGGUUUCUGGUGCGGCCCUUGUCUUGCCUGCACCGUUUCAGGACGGUUUGGAGAGAAUUAUUGUUUACCAUUAUGUGACAUAGUACCCAUGUGCACAUCAGUAAUGUAUGGAAUGCCCAUCUGUGUUCCUCCUGCAGCCCUGUCUACUAGGGCUGCCAUGCGAAACAGAUACCAUAUCAGGGGUUCUCUCUGCGACGACGUUGCAGUGUCUUGUCUCUGUUCGUGGUGCUCCUGGUGUCAGAUGCACCGUGAGUUAAAAUAUCGCAAUAUCAUUCCUGUUGUCAUCAAUAUGCAGCAUCAAACCAUGGUGCAAAUGCAGAAUCAAAACAUACCACAAAUGCAGAAUCAAUACAUGCCACAAAUGCAGAAUCAAUACAUGCCACAAAUGCAGAAUCAA